rnacentral:lncRNA from 1 species
CUUUUGAUGCCGUGAAGUGCACUCACUGGGCAGAAGGGGGCAAGGGUGCCUUAGCCCUGGCUCAGGCCGUCCAGAGAGCAGCACAAGCACCCAGCAGCUUCCAGCUCCUUUAUGACCUCAAGCUCCCAGUUGAGGAUAAAAUCAGGAUCAUUGCACAGAAGAUCUAUGGAGCAGAUGACAUUGAAUUACUUCCCGAAGCUCAACACAAAGCUGAAGUCUACACGAAGCAGGGCUUUGGGAAUCUCCCCAUCUGCAUGGCUAAAACACACUUGUCUUUGUCUCACAACCCAGAGCAAAAAGGUGUCCCUACAGGCUUCAUUCUGCCCAUUCGCGACAUCCGCGCCAGCGUUGGGGCUGGUUUUCUGUACCCCUUAGUAGGAACGAUGAGCACAAUGCCUGGACUCCCCACCCGGCCCUGUUUUUAUGAUAUUGAUUUGGACCCUGAAACAGAACAGGUGAAUGGAUUAUUCUAAACAGACUUCCCUGAGGGGAGAGGGGAUAGUAAUGAGAGUUGGCAAUAACCAAUGAAUUGAAAUAUUUAUAUUUCAACACAUUUUUGGAAGAAGCGCAGCAUGGCUUGUCACAGGUUGACAGUGUAGGGGAGAAAACUGCUGUCCAAUAAACUACAGAGGAAACUACAGGAGAGGUUAGACUCCCUCUGCUGAAGCCCCAGGAGGCUUGGGGUUCAGAGUUGAUGACACAUUGCAGAUCACCAUCCAUCUUCAAGAAGCUACUUUGAAAGUCUGGCCAGUGUCUAUUCAGGCCCACUGGGAGUUAGGAAGUAUAAGUAAGCCAAGAGAAGUCAGCCCCUGCCCAGAAGAUCUGAAACUAAUAGUAGGAGUUUCCCCAGAAGUCAUUUUCAGCCUUAAUUCUCAUCAUGUAUAAAUUAACAUAAAUCAUGCAUGUCUGUUUACUUUAGUGACGUUCCACAG